rnacentral:rRNA from 1 species
UACGUAGGGGGCGAGCGUUGUCCGGAUUUAUUGGGCGUAAAGAGCGUGUAGGCGGCCAGGUAGGUCUGCUGUGAAAACUCGAGGCUCAACCUCGAGACGUCGGCGGAAACCAUCUGGCUAGAGUCCGGAAGAGGAGAGUGGAAUUCCUGGUGUAGCGGUGAAAUGCGCAGAUAUCAGGAAGAACACCGGUGGCGAAGGCGGCUCUCUGGGACGGUACUGACGCUGAGACGCGAAAGCGUGGGGAGCGAACAGG